GCGUGGUAAUGGUUGACCAGGGAAAUGUCUGUGGAAUGGUAAUGAUUGACCAGGGAAAUGUCUGUGGCGUGGUAAUGGUUGACCAGGGAAAUGUCUGUGGCAUGGUAGACCAGGGACAUGUCUGUGGCAUGGUAAUGGUUGACCAGGGAAAAUGUCUGUUGUCAUGGUAAUGGUUGACCAGGGAAAUGUCUGUUGUCAUGGUAAUGGUUGACCAGGGAAAUGUCUGUGGCAUGGUAAGGGAAAUGUCUGUUGUCAUGGUAAUGGUUGACCAGGGAAAUGUCUGUGACAUGGUAGACCAGGGACAUGUCUGUGGCAUGGUAAUGAUUGACCAGGGAAAAUGUCUGUUGUCAUGGUAAUGGUUGACCAGGGAAAUGUCUGUGGCAUGGUAAUGGUUGACCAGGGCAAUGACUUUGGCAUGGUAAUGGUUGACCAGGGAAAUGACUGUGGCAUGGUAAUGGUUGACCAGGGAAAAUGUCUGUUGUCAUGGUAAUGGUUGACCAGGAAAAUGUCUGUGGCAUGGUAAUGGUUGACCAGGGCAAUGACUGUGGCAUGGUAAUGGUUGACCAGGGAAACUGUAUGUUGUCAUGGUAAUGGUUGACCAGGGAAUGUCUGUUGUCAUGGUAAUGGUUGACAAGGGAAAUGUCUGUGGCAUGGUAAUGGUUGACCAGGGCAAUGACUGUGGCAUGGUAAUGGUUGACCAGGGAAAUGUCUGUGGCAUGGUAAUGGUUGACCAGGGAAAUGUCUGUGGCAUGGUAAUGGUUGACCAGGGAAAUGUCUGUGGUCAUGGUAAUGGUUGACCAGGGAAAUGUCUGUGGCAUGGUAAU
ensembl:lncRNA